UUCAGGCGAGUCUCAGGUCCAUUAUGGGUUUAAUACACCUCUCCAUAACCGGAAACAGGAAAUUGAGAGGUACUCAAAGGCAGGAUAUUAUAGUUACUAGUGCUUAAGCCCAGGCGUAUAUAUAUAUUUACAUCGACCGUAAGCAAGACAGUACUUUUAACAGAUAAAACACUCAACCUGACCUUUAAUACGAAUUAAAAACAUACGAUUAACAUAACAAAACCUGACCUCAUUCAUGAAUGAAAUUAUAAUAUUGAUUUGCGUAAUUAGUACACAAUGCAUAAUUAUGCACGGGUAAGCGAUGAUUGAAAUUGAGAUGCGUUGAGGUCAGCUCGCCUAUAUAAAAACAAUUAGGAAUGCCUUUGUUUUCAUCAUUUAUACUUGUGACAUCCACGGUAGCCUUGAAUUCUGUAAGACGUAAAUAUUUCUUAUGUACUUUUUACAUAGUUGGAAAAUAAUGUGUGAUGUAUUGUGGGGCAAUAAAUCGAUCGUCCAGACCACUGGUCCAAGCAGUGUUUGCAAUUGUGCUUUGUGUUAUUGAUCUCAUACCAUCAUGUUUCUCACAAUGUAUUCAUACGAAACAAAGGAAAUGAACUGAAUUUGAUUUAAAUACAAAAACAUAUUAUAUUUUACAAUGGACAGGAAAAAGGUCACCAUUCCAUCUCAUGGGUAGAGGGGAUCCCAGAUUCAUUGAAUUGAACUGUUCAUAUCAUAACUGUUACGUUACUGAUAACAGGACUUAUUUGUCAGACAUUAGACAUUUUGAUGCAAUAGUUUUUCAUGGCACCGACGUAAUAAAUAUGAAUUACAAUCAAUUGCCCAAUAAAAGAUCACCUUCUCAAAAGUAUGUAUUUGGAGCAACCGAGUCGGCUCAACGAAUAAUUGUUUGUGACCCAGUCUUGGAGAACUUCUUUAACUGGACUUGGACUCAUAAACUUGACUCAGAUAUUCGAUGGUCUCACAUAUUAAUUUACAACCUCGAUGGCCAUGAAGUGGGCCCAACGCUGAACAUGAAAUGGCCUAAGAAGAUGAACCCUGUUAAAAACAAGAAAAUAAGGGCUAUAUUGGAUGGCAAGACUAAGGCAGCUGCGUGGUUUGCGUCGCAAUGUCAGACUUUAGGAAAAAGAGAAAAUUUUGCCAAGACGCUAAAGCAAGAACUAUCAAAAUUAAAACUUAAGCUGGAUGUGUACGGAAAAUGCGGUAAAUUGAAAUGUGCAAAGGACAAUUUGAAUCAAUGUUAUGACUUGGUGAAGAGACACUAUUAUUUCUACUUGUCUUUUGAGAGUUAUGUCUCUACGGAUUAUGUGACGGAGAAACUCCUGAUCGCACUGAACAACUUCGCAAUCCCUGUUGUUUAUGGCGGCGCAGAUUAUUCUAGAUUCCUACCUCCAGGCAGCUACUUAAACGCGCGGGAGCUUGGGCCAAAGCAACUAGCGAAGACCAUGGAGGAGAUAAUUAAAAACAGAACCAGAUUCUAUGAUUACUUCCGGUGGCGGAACCACUUCCGGUACAAAGCACGUGGUCUCCUCAAUGAAAUCUGCAACAUUUGCACCGCACUCAACGAUGACAAAAAAGCUAAAAACUAUUAUCAUCUUAAUAUAUUCAGGAGAUGGUGGAAUGAACAAUAUAACAAUAGAUGUAAUAAUAAAAAAGAACUUUAUGACGAGUAGUUACGGGUUUUGAUAAGUCCGCCUUUGCACUCAUUAUGUUUGAAUAUCUUGUUGUAACUUAUAACUCCUUUGUGAAUGGUGCAAUAAAGAGUUUAUCUAUCUCCCUUAUCUGAUCGUUUUCCCAGUUUCAUUCGCAGUCGCAGAGCAUCGAAGCCCGGGGUCCGCUUUCCUACUUCUUCUUCCCCACUUCACACGGCCUUCAGUAGUCAGACCAUUUUUGGUUUAUCGUUAUGUCAAUUUAAAAUUAUAUGUAGCAAACA